rnacentral:rRNA from 1 species
AUGAACGCUGGCGGCGUGCCUAAUCCCUGCAAGUCGAGCGAACAGACGAGGAGCUUGCUCCUCUGACGUUAGCGGCGGACGGGUGAGUAACACGUGGAUACCCUACCUAUAAGACUGGGAUAACUUCGGGAAACCGGAGCUAAUACCGGAUAAUAUAUUGAACCGCAUGGUUCCAUAGUGAAAGCCGGUUUUGCUGUCACUUAUAGAUGGAUCCGCGCCGCAUUAGCUAGUUGGUAAGGUAACGGCUUACCAAGGCAACGAUGCGCAGCCGACCUGAGAGGGUGAUCGGCCACACUGGAACUGAGACACGGUCCAGACUCCUACGGGAGGCAGCAGUAGGGAAUCUUCCGCAAUGGGCGAAAGCCUGACGGAGCAACGCCGCGUGAGUGAUGAAGGUCUUCGGAUCGUAAAACUCUGUUAUUAGGGAAGAACAAAUGUGUAAGUAACUAUGCACGUCUUGACGGUACCUAAUCAGAAAGCCACGGCUAACUACGUG